UAAAAUUCCCCUCACACUUCGUAAUACAUUCCAUUUAUACUUUCAUAAACUUUUUUUGAACAUCUGUAUCAAGUAUCACUGCAACAAUUAUUGCGAAUAUUGAAUCGUAAGCAGAAACAUGAAAAAAAAAACAGGUUUGAAAGUUUCAUAGGUGUCUGUCUAUAAAGGCAAGGCGUUCUUUUUUCGCGUUCGUUCACGUUGCGUAAACAUGUCUCGAUGAUGUCAUGUAUACCGGCGCUGUUUAUGGCCAAAUGCGGCGUUUUUUUUAAACGAGUGCUAAGUACCUAUGCAGUAAAUAAAGACUUGCGCCUGAAAAGUGAGGAAGGUGAGCAAGAGCAACAUCGGCGACUUCGAUCGUAUUGCGUGUAAAAUCAAGUCGUGUAACAUCACGUCUCACCCACUUAAGAAGGAUAAACCUUGAGACAAUGCGCUGCAUGUGCACUUAUGCACGUAUGUUUUGGUCAUUUGGUCCCGCAUCGUUAAUUAUGAUGAUUAAGAUGUACACUGAUGAUGAUAUGGUACGUGCCGCAUGCUAAUGAAGUCGAAAUGUAUAAUGCCUACAAUUGGAAAAGGUGAUGAAUUACGACUAAAAAUGGCUAUUAUUCAAGUUCAAGUUAUGUGUACUAGCCUUGCAAACUCAAUAAUAUAGUUUAUCAAAUA